rnacentral:lncRNA from 1 species
AAAAAUGGUGUCAACACAUGCCCCCCAGAGUCAGAGUGAAACAUAUCUUUUGCUUCAAAAUUAUCUCAACCAUGAUUUUCACCUUCCCUGGGAAAACGCCGAUGCUUACCAAUCACCAAGUAACAAGAUCUUUUCUAUUCUGAAAUUUGCUCAGUCAUGAUUACAUGAAAAAGUGUCUGGGGGUAACAGCUAUUCGGGUUUCGCGUAGGCGGCAGAUGAGAUACCAUAUUUACCCUCUCAGGUGAGUUUAUAAAUUUACAGCCGUCAUCUUCUUCUUCCCCACCGGUUCAUCUUCUCGCACUGCCACACCUUGCUUCCACUUUCCUCCAAGCGAAAGGUGACAUUUGAUGACUCCCAUCGACCAUCAGCGAUCUCCAGCGACCAUCGGUGAUUCAUUUGCUAAUCGCCUCAAACUCCAAACCUUAGGCAACCAGCUCCAUGGCCACUCUUACCACCGUCCCCGAGGUACAUCUCUCUGCCUUCGUCAUUUUCCCCGUGCUUCUAUUUUCCUAUCCUUACUUAGCCAUUUUCGCAUUUCUCAGGAGCUUAGAGAUAGAAUCACCAUCCCCAUAGCUGACACCCC